rnacentral:misc_RNA from 1 species
AUGCUUAUUAGUUAUUAUUAUUUUAAGUUUUAUGGUAUUUAAAGUUUGACGGAAUAUUCAUAGUUAUUUGACUUUUUUUUUUUGCCUCACCUCACUUAGGCACGCACCUUGGCCUUGCUCCUAGGCUUUAGAAUCCUUUAGUGCCUUAGUGUGAAUCAAAUUUAGUGCCUUAGUGCCUUGAACUUUUAAUAACUAUGAAUAUGAUUUUUUUUACGAAAUUAAAACUCAUGAAUCAAAUUGUUUCGUUUUCAAACAUGGAUACUGACGUGCGGUUUUUGCUAAAUCUCAAUUGUCAUCCUGUAAUUUAUUGAAAGAUUAAAUCAGAGUCUGUGCUUGUGUCGCUUCUUCCUCCGCUUUGGCAUGACUUUUAAUCUUCUUCUCUUUGGCAUGGCUUUGUCUUCCUCUUCGUCUCUGUUUUUCCUUCUUUUCCUUAUUCUUUCUCCUUCUUUUGGCAUUACUUCUUCUGCUAUGUUUUUCCACCUUUGGGCUUCUUGCUGCCAUGGAAGGGGACAUGCAAAAUCAAACUGAAAUCAAGAACAAAAACCUCUAUUUCAAUGAAGCGGGAUGCAUACCACAAUGUUUUGGAACGUUGGCAUACUACAUUUUGGGACGUGUGUCCUAGAUCAUGGUACGUAUGGAGGGGGCAGUGAAUUUGAUAACUGUGUAGACUAAUUAGGGUUCUUAUAAAGAUCAAAACAUAAGAAACUAAAUUUAAGGGCAUUCUAGCAAAUAGGUAAAAUUACUAAAUGCCCUUGUUACUAAACUUUAAACACUAACGUGCCAAAACCUGUUAAUCUAAUUUCCAUAAGGAGUUCACUUGUUGUCUGCAUCAACAAGAAGAUUGGCGUUGUAAUUAGGUAAUCUAUAUCUUUAACAAGUCAUUGAAGCGAAAUAGAGCAGUCAGUGCAAAACUAUUAUGAGCUUACUAUGCAAUCAUAUUCAUGUGAGCAAAUUUUGUUUUAUUCUUUCAUUUUCUUUCUUUUGUCUUUGCAAACUAUUAAUAUUCUCAUUUCCUCUUUUCACUAUCAGGAUUUUUCCCCACCUUUUUUUUUAAUCUUUUAUUGCGG